UGAAACCUUGGGAAGGAGAGAGGAUCCAUGAGGAAUGUGUAUCUGAUGAUCUUGAGCUUACACUUGGAAAUUCUAGGACCAGAUGAGGGGGAACUGACAGAAAGGGUGAGAAUGAAUUAUCCUCGGAUUUCUUGAUUUGGCUUCUUGCUUCCCUUUAUGUUUCAUGUCAAUGACUUCAUAUUGUGCAUGCUUCGGUUGGCAGAGAGCUGAGAUAGAGGUACAGUGAGUAGGAGCA
rnacentral:misc_RNA from 1 species